rnacentral:rRNA from 1 species
CCUACGGGAGGCAGCAGUGAGGAAUAUUGGUCAAUGGACGAGAGUCUGAACCAGCCAAGUAGCGUGAAGGAUGACUGCCUUAGGGGUUGUAAACUUCUUUUAUAUGGGAAUAAAAUGUUCCACGUGUGGGAUUUUGUAUGUACCAUAUGAAUAAGGAUCGGCUAACUCCGUGCCAGCAGCCGCGGUAAUACGGAGGAUCCGAGCUUUAUCCGUAUUUAUUGGGCUUAAAGGGAGCGGCGGUGGAGUGUUAAGUCAGUUGUGAAAGUUUGCGGCUCAACCGUAAAAUUGCAGUUGAAACUGGCAGUCUUGAGUACAGUAGAGGUGGGCGGAAUUCGUGGUGUAGCAGUGAAAUGCUUAGAUAUCACGAAGAACUCCGAUUGCGAAGGCAGUUCACUGGACUGCAACUGACACUGAGGCUCGAAAGUGUGGGUAUCAAACAGGAUUAGAUACCCUAGUAGUC